rnacentral:lncRNA from 1 species
GCUACUCUUACAAUGAUCUGACAACACUUUAUUUAAGUUUUUGUUUUAAAUACUUUUUAGGAUCCUCCAGUAUUGUCCAAAUCAUACAAAACUUUAAAAACAGUGUAGCACAAACACAUGAUUUUAAUUUGAUUAAUAUAAAUUUAGACAUAAAUGAGCUACUCGUAUCAACCUAGGUUUGAUGAGGUAUUUGAUUUCAUUAUAACCAUGAUCGUAAGUAAAAACCAAACAUCUUGGAAACUUUAGAUUGAUUUAAAAAUUGAUCUCAUUCAAGGAUAUUUUCAAGUAUUUAGAAAAGCAGCGUUUAUAUAAUUUAUAUAUGAAAGCAUUGAACAACCUCAGAAAUAGAUCAUAAGAUUAGGUUAACAUCAGGAUCUGCACUGAAUACUAUAUGUAUAAAAUUAUAUAUGUUGAAACAACAAAUGUCACAAUACCAAGUUAUAGUCAUGAAUCAGAUUAAAUUAAGUGAAAAUUCCACACGUCUUAGUAUUGGGUAAAUAUUGUAUCAAAUGAAAAAUUCAAACCUAACUUCUACGUCAUUUGGUUUCUGGCAGAGAGUUGUCUUUUUUGCAAUCAUACCGCAUCUUCUUAUUUUUAUACCUGUCAGUUUUACUAAUGCUUUAACUUAAAUCAUUCUAUUUGUGUACAAUUGACACUUUAUAAAGUCAUAUUGACUUAAGUAUAGUUGAAAUUAUUACUGUAAAUUUGUCGAAACCAAUACUUGUUAAGAAUUUUCCAUUUUCAAGCUAUCAACUUUGUUUUCAUUUUUAUAAAUUUUUGCAAAAAAACCUUUCAGGUGACUGUGUCCAUGUUCAUUCAAAGCAAAUGGAAACAGCAUGUUUCCAUGUUGCCACGCUUUUAAGAACUUUCAUUCCAUAUCAACUGAUCAGCUAUACAAAGUUUAGCAUAAAUGCGUUACGCACAUACAAUGUCUAAAUAAUUAUCAGAUCCUGCACAAUUCCCCAUGCUUGCUCUAUAUAUUUUUUUAAAGGCAGGGAUAGAGUUCCUCUUUAUUUAGAGUUAAUUCCCUUUGCAAAAUAUAGUAUCUAAAUUUGAAAAUAAUCCAAUAACUUGGAAAUGAAAUAUUGCACAAAAC